UGAAAAGGUUUUUCUUUUAACAUCGCUGACUAGCAUCAAGGAUUCGUUUUCCGCGAGUGCAACUAUACAUUAUUAAACGAAGCUGCUUAAGUACAACAAUUGAAUAACGGCUAAUUCAAAAUGUCAGCCAAUGGUAACAACGGAAAUAAUGAUAGUAAUGAGGCCACGCCACCGGCCCCAUUGCCAUCAGUUAGAUUAGAUAUUGCCGACCGAAUGAAACGUUGGCAUGGCAAGGUUGCAGUCGUAACAGGCGCCAGCGGUGCAAUUGGUGGUGCCAUAGCGAUAGAACUCGUCAAAGCGGGAAUGAUCGUAUGUGCACUGUCAAGACGGCGUGACAAGGUGGAAAAACUACGUGUUAGCCUGUUUGACGUGGCCGGUACGCUGAAUUACGUUGAGUGUGAUAUUACUGUGGAGGACGACAUUAAGUAUGCGUUUGGAUGGAUUGAAAACACGUACGGUGGGGUAGAUAUGCUGGUGAAUAACGCUGGGAUCAUCACAAAAUGCUUGCUAACAGAGAAAAACAAUACAAGGGAUCUUUAUAAGACGAUGGAAACGAACAUCAUUGGAUUAUCCCUGUGCACAAGGGAAGCCGUCAAAUCGAUGAAAGCCCGCGAUGUGAAGGGUCACAUAAUUAACGUAAACAGCAUAUUUGGUCAUAAAGUGCACCAAGCCGUUCCAGGAACGCGUCCAUUAAAUGGAAUGUACCCGGCAUCGAAAUAUGCAGUCACGGCCAUUACAGAAUGCAUUAGACAAGAGCUUGUUUACUUAGGCACUGGUUGUAAAGUUACGAGUAUCAGUCCUGGCUUAGUGGAAGGUGACAUUCUAUCCGCAAACACCUCGAAGGACAAUGACAUUGUGAACUACAUGCCAAAAUUAAAGCCUGAAGAUGUGGCCGAAGCAGUACUUUAUGCUAUCACUACACCAGAAAAUGUGCAAAUUCACGAGCUGAUUAUCAAGCCGAUGGGCGAAUUCCUGUAAACAAUCAUCUAAAUACCAUAAAUACAGACCGAUUCAAUAGUCUGAAUUGUAUUUCAAUGUAAUUUAUUCAGCCAAAUCUAAUACACGGGCUAAUACAGAAGUGAAAAAUUACUAGCCUAUUCAGCAAGGAUUAUAUGGCGUUAUGAAAUGUUAUUAAAAAGAGCUGGUUAUACGACUGAUCGCUAUAUAAUACAAUCGCUGUCCAUCUAAACCACUGUUACUACCAUCCAACUAAAACCAUCCUUUUUAUUACAUGGUUUUGUGUUAUUUUCCACACAUUACGAGAUCUCGGCUGUGAUAUCUACUAGUGUUGGGAAAUCCGCAGAGUGUAUGACUGAAAAAUAAGUCAUGAAAUUGCAUUUCUCAGCAACGAUCUCGUGUAUAGUGUGAAGAUUAUAGUUUUUUUUCUUAAGUUAUAAUGCUUUCAAAUAAACUAAUUCGCAUAAAAAAUAACCAUCCAGCAGCAAAAAACGGUUGACAAUACUU